rnacentral:lncRNA from 1 species
GGCCUAGAUUUUUCACAAAAGAAAUUGUAGAGGAUUGUGUACUAUGACAAUUGACUCUUUUUUUUUUCUAGGUACCCAAUAGAACUGUCCAGAUUCGCCAAGAGUCAUAUUUCCAUAGAAUUCAGAGAAGGGACUUUAAAGAAGUUCAAAUUUGGAAGGUCUGUUUUUGCUUUCCAUCCUCUGUGGACCGUUAGAUUGUGUAAUUAGCCACUUUAACUCUGUUGAUAAGGA